GUGGUUGUAGCUCAAUUGGUAGAGCACUUGCCUGUGGAGCAAGCGGUUGGCGGUUCGAUCCCGCUCAACCACCCCA
rnacentral:tRNA from 1 species